ACGACCAUACCAUGCUGAAUAUACCGGUUCUCGUUAGAUCACCGAAGAUCAUUGGGCGCGGUCAGUACUUGGGUGGUUGACCACCUGGGAACAAAGCGUGCCGUU
rnacentral:rRNA from 1 species